GUCGCCUCCUAAAAGGUAACGGAGGCGCUCAAAGGUUCCCUCAGAAUGGUUGGAAAUCAUUCAUAGAGUGUAAAGGCAUAAGGGAGCUUGACUGCGAGACCUACAAGUCGAGCAGGGUCGAAAGACGGACUUAGUGAUCCGGUGGUUCCGCAUGGAAGGGCCAUCGCUCAACGGAUAAAAGCUACCCCGGGGAUAACAGGCUUAUCUCCCCCAAGAGUUCACAUCGACGGGGAGGUUUGGCACCUCGAUGUCGGCUCAUCGCAUCCUGGGGCUGUAGUCGGUCCCAAGGGUUGGGCUGUUCGCCCAUUAAAGCGGUACGCGAGCUGGGUUCAGAACGUCGUGAGACAGUUCGGUCCCUAUCCGUCGUGGGCGUAGGAAAUUUGAGAGGAGCUGUCCUUAGUACGAGAGGACCGGGAUGGACAUACCUCUGGUGUACCAGUUGUCGUGCCAACGGCAUAGCUGGGUAGCUAUGUGUGGACGGGAUAAGUGCUGAAAGCAUCUAAGCAUGAAGCCCCCCUCAAGAUGAGAUUUCCCAACUUCGGUUAUAAGAUCCCUCAAAGAUGAUGAGGUUAAUAGGUUC
rnacentral:rRNA from 1 species